GGGGCUGUAGCUCAGUUGGGAGAGCGUGGCGCUGGCAGCGCCAAGGUCGAGGGUUCGAAUCCCUUCAGCUCCA
rnacentral:tRNA from 1 species